rnacentral:rRNA from 1 species
UACAGAGGUCCCAAGCGUUGUUCGGAUUCAUUGGGCGUAAAGGGUGCGUAGGUGGCGCGCUAAGUCAGGUGUGAAAUUUCGGAGCUUAACUCCGAAACUGCAUUUGAUACUGGCGUGCUUGAGGACUGGAGAGGAGACUGGAAUUUACGGUGUAGCAGUGAAAUGCGUAGAGAUCGUAAGGAAGACCAGUGGCGAAGGCGGGUCUCUGGACAGUGCCUGACACUGAGACACGAAGGCCAGGGGAGCAAACGGG